AGUGAACGCUGGCGGUAGGCCUAACACAUGCAAGUCGAACGGCGGCACAGGAGAGCUUGCUCUCUGGGUGGCGAGUGGCGGACGGGUGAGGAAUACAUCGGAAUCUACUUUUUCGUGGGGGAUAACGUAGGGAAACUUACGCUAAUACCGCAUACGACCUGCGGGUGAAAGCAGGGGACCUUCGGGCCUUGCGCGAUUGAAUGAGCCGAUGUCGGAUUAGCUAGUUGGCGGGGUAAAGGCCCACCAAGGCGACGAUCCGUAGCUGGUCUGAGAGGAUGAUCAGCCACACUGGAACUGAGAUACGGUCCAGACUCCUACGGGAGGCAGCAGUGGGGAAUAUUGGACAAUGGGCGCAAGCCUGAUCCAGCCAUACCGCGUGGGUGAAGAAGGCCUUCGGGUUGUAAAGCCCUUUUGUUGGGAAAGAAAUCCAGCUGGCUAAUACCCGGUUGGGAUGACGGUACCCAAAGAAUAAGCACCGGCUAACUUCGUGCCAGCCGCCGCAGUAA
rnacentral:rRNA from 1 species